rnacentral:lncRNA from 1 species
AAAGAAAACUGAAUAAUACUCUAUUUUUCUACAAUGAAUCUAGAAGAAAAAGAAAAGACCAAAUAUAGGAUUACUUGAAUGAGACAAAAAAGAUGGAAUUUGGAGGACAAGACAAGAGAUACUAAGAAGAGUAAACCCAAUAAACAGACUGCAGCACAGAAAGGGUCCAGGACCAGGGAGGUGGCUUGUUCAGGAAAGAGUUAACUCAACAGGUCUGGGAUAUUCAAAUCCCACACAUUUCGAAAAAAAGUUCUCUCCUCAUUGGCUCCUGGGAGAAAAUCUCUACGUCUUUGGACUAUUCUUCCAGAUUGGAGACUGAAAAGAAGAGAAGUUAAGGAACUUGUCUAAGAUUAUCAAGCAAAAAUUUAAAGCUGAAGUUUCAAUAUUUUCUCAGAAAACAAGAAAAGUUAGUGAUCUCAUUAUAGAAGGACUAAAAGCCUGCAAAGUAUAUUUUUGUUAACUCCAAAGGACAGACUUUCAGGGCAGUUUACCAGGAGACAGCUUUUACAAUGAGUGCACUGGCAAGAGGAAGGAAAAAGCCAUUUUUGCUGCUUCAUGUGUUGCCUACACAGAGACUGUUACAGUGGCUUCAGCAGAGUCAGUGGUUGUGUCAACAGCAUCUGGAGCAGAGAGGGCAAGCUUAGUUCAUAUGAAGCAGCAAUAGCAACAGAAGAAAAGGCAGUGACAUCACCCUCAGCUUGUUGGAGGAGCCUAUGGGCCAGCUAAUGAAAAAUACAGGAGUCUGAAUAGCAGGGGAAAGCUCUGGGUGUCAGCAAUAUAUUCAAGUAGAGAUAAACAGAAGAAGAUGUGAAGAAGUCAAUGAUAGGGUAGUAGUUCUGAACUUACCUGGUGACUAUGCCAAAUGGACAAUCAUUCAGAAAUCAGGCUCUGGGAGGUUUUUCUAUCUUCAGUAAUGCCUUCUAAGGUUUUUUGGGAAUCAUCUCCAUUCCAGCUAAUGAGAAAAGGAAGAGAGUAUUUUGGGUGUCUGGGAUUUCCUCUCUGGCACUCAUUCUCCUGUCACCCUGUGAAGAGGUGCCUUCUGCCAUGAUUAGAAGUUUCCUGAGAACUCCCCAGCCAUGC